rnacentral:tRNA from 1 species
UAAAUAAUUAUCUGUAAAAAAUAAGAAAAGAAGGAGCCUAAAUACGUAUAUCUAUAUACAUGUAUACACGUG